CCUACGGGGGGCUGCAGUGAGGAAUAUUGGUCAAUGGACGCAAGUCUGAACCAGCCAUGCCGCGUGCAGGAAGACGGUCCUAUGGAUUGUAAACUGCUUUUGUACAGGAAGAAACACUCCCUUGCGAGGGAACUUGACGGUACUGUAAGAAUAAGGAUCGGCUAACUCCGUGCCAGCAGCCGCGGUAAUACGGAGGAUCCAAGCGUUAUCCGGAAUCAUUGGGUUUAAAGGGUCCGUAGGCGGCCUUAUAAGUCAGCGGUGAAAGUUUUUGGCUU
rnacentral:rRNA from 1 species